rnacentral:misc_RNA from 1 species
AUGCGAUAAGUAGUGUGACUUGCAGAAUUCAGUGAAUCAUCGAAUCUUUGAACGCACAUUGCGCCCUUUGGUAUUCCAAAGGGCAUGCCUGUUCGAGCGUCAUUUGUACCCUCAAGCUUUGCUUGGUGUUGGGCGUCUUGUCUCCAGUUCGCUGGAGACUCGCCUUAAAGUAAUUGGCAGCCGGCCUACUGGUUUCGGAGCGCAGCACAAGUCGCGCUCUCUUCCAGCCAAGGUCAGCAUCCACAAAGCCUUUUUUCAACUUUUGACCUCGGAUCAGGUAGGGAUACCCGCUGAACUUAAGC